rnacentral:snRNA from 1 species
AUACUUACCUGGCAGGGGAGAUACCGUGAUCACAAAGGUGGUUUUCCCAGGGCAAGGCUAAACCAUUGCACUCCACAUGUGCUGAUCCCUGUGAUUUCCCCAAACAUGGGAACCCAACUGCAUACUUUGUGGUAGUGGGAGACAAUGUUCCUGCUUUCUCCUA